rnacentral:rRNA from 1 species
UACGAAGGGGGCUAGCGUUGUUCGGAAUACUGGGCGUAAAGGGCGCGUAGGCGGCCCGCUAAGUCGAACGUGAAAUCCCCGAGCUCAACUCGGGAACUGCGUCCGAUACUGGCGGGCUUGAAUCCGGGAGAGGGAUGCGGAAUUCCAGGUGUAGCGGUGAAAUGCGUAGAUAUCUGGAGGAACACCGGUGGCGAAGGCGGCAUCCUGGACCGGCAUUGACGCUGAGGCGCGAAAGCUAGGGGAGCAAACGGG